AUAUAUAUAUAUAUAUAUGUUUGGAGUAAUAAGUCAUUUUUGUGGUUCAUUCUCCAUGAGAUGGCUUUACCCAUGGGAAUGGCCUUGGUUUGAAACAACCAUGCAAAAAGGGGACAUUGCUAAAUAUUCCCCUUGACUGGUAAUAUGCCCUGUGCAACUAGCUUAGAUAAUGGUCUAUGUUUCGCAUAGCCUUUUUUACUGGUGAAACAUGGAUAAUUUGCCUGUUACUUGAAGAGGGAAGGAGCUGUUUGUACAUGUACAAGUACUUAAGAGCAAGGGUGUGAGGACUGAUCCUUAGAUAACACUUGGGAAUGGAUCUCAUGUCCUUCCACUCACAACUUUGUAACUAGUCGAGAUUAUGAUCGUUGUGGCCUAUCAUGGUUAUUCUCUGUGGACACGUGUGCCGGUGCUGUGUGAUGCUUAUGCACAAUCUUUUGUUGUGCGCUUGAUGGAUUAGUGAGCAUGUUUGUAGGAGCGCAUGUUUUUUUGGGAGGUACAUGUAUGAUUACUUUACCCUAUUCAAAUUACAAUCUUUUUUCCAUUGUCACACCAACUCAGAUUUCUCCUCUCACCAUUUUGAUGUCGAGGCAAAUAAUUUAUCUUCUAAUGUCUGGGGGAUGUUUGUAUGUAUAAUUGUUUGAUAUUCUAGUGUGAGAAUUUUAUA